GAGUUUGAUCAUGGCUCAGAUUGAACGCUGGCGGCAGGCCUAACACAUGCAAGUCGAGCGGAAACGAUCCUAGCUUGCUAGGAGGCGUCGAGCGGCGGACGGGUGAGUAACGCAUAGGAAUCUGCCCGGUAGUGGGGGAUAACCUGGGGAAACCCAGGCUAAUACCGCAUACGUCCUACGGGAGAAAGCAGGGGCUCUUCGGACCUUGCGCUAUCGGAUGAGCCUAUGUCGGAUUAGCUGGUUGGUGAGGUAAUGGCUCACCAAGGCGACGAUCCGUAGCUGGUCUGAGAGGAUGAUCAGCCACAUCGGGACUGAGACACGGCCCGAACUCCUACGGGAGGCAGCAGUGGGGAAUAUUGGACAAUGGGCGCAAGCCUGAUCCAGCCAUGCCGCGUGUGUGAAGAAGGCCUUCGGGUUGUAAAGCACUUUCAGUGGGGAAGAAAUCCUCGGGGCUAAUACCCUCGAGGGAGGACAUCACCCACAGAAGAAGCACCGGCUAACUCCGUGCCAGCAGCCGCGGUAC
rnacentral:rRNA from 1 species